rnacentral:rRNA from 1 species
AUGUUCUCCGGCGACUGGACGCCGCCGUGCGGCAGCUGCUGCACCAAGAAGUACGCGACCCUCGUCCAAAUCCCAUGGAGGGUGUUCUGCAAGAAGGGGUGCAACGCGGACGGCGACACCUGGGAGGAGUGCAUAGGUAAAUGCACUGAAAUAUGCUACAAGGAUCCGGUGUUGGAAGAUCGCCAGUGGAGUGCCUAUAUCGACCGGUCGCCAGGAGAGGACAGUUACUCUUUGGAGUGCUUCAACGCGUGCAUAUCUGGGUGUGGAUACAGGUUCGACAUACCGGCGGAGAAAGUCGGGCUCAUCAAGCCUAACAGGCCGUCCAAGCCACCGCCGCCUCCUGUGGUCGAGCGGGCCAAGCCUGGCUCGGGGCCUCCUGCCGUGGCCGGUGAAGACGUGCCCGGCACAUCGGCGUAG